AGCCAAUUAAACUACCCUUUCAUGAUUGGGGUCCAGGGUUGGUUUAAUUAAUUAAGCCUCUUGGGGUUUUGUCAUGGCCUUGUAAAUAUUCCAUGUGUAAUUCCCGAAAUAGCACCCCAUCCCCUAUGUAGUGCAAUAGCUUUGAUCAUGGCCUUAUGUGCCCUGGUCAAAAGUAGUGCANNNNNNNNNNAGACAACCCAGGCCCACCAGACCCCUGCAAUCGGCACAGUAAUCUGUGGAAGGAGAGUUCCAGAGGACUACAGUGGAGCCUGGCUCACUUCACCUCAGAACUGGUCACCUUCAGAUCCACCUGGACACGACACACAGAAGACAACAAGUUCAAAUGGAAGGAGAGCGGCUCUAAUGGAAUCUUGGAUCAGAACGUGACGAAGGAGCCGCCGACUGGGGGAGAGGAACUGUUCUAACGUUGUAAUGAUGCUCAACAGCGGAGAGGCCCUCUUGUGUAGUACGAUGCCAAUGGAAACCAUAUGGAAAUCAUAGUCAUUUAAUGAGGGUUGAAAUAAACAUGCUNNNNNNNNNNCCAAUUUGGGAUGCAGGUAGUAUUUCUCUUUCAUCUCCAUGAAGCCCGAGGAGAGGUAGUAGAGACAUUUAAAAGAUGUAGGCAUGGUUCUUCUUCCAGUCCUCUGUAGCUCAGUCAUAUUUUUAUAUUCCAUUGCUUUCCCCUCUCAGGAAUCUUGGAUCAGAACGUGACGAAGGAGCCGCCGACUGGGGGAGAGGAACUGUUCUAACGUUGUAAUGAUGCUCAACAGCGGAGAGGCCCUCUUGUGUAGUACGAUGCCAAUGGAAACCAUAUGGAAAUCAUAGUCAUUUAAUGAGGGUUGAAAUAA
rnacentral:lncRNA from 13 species